rnacentral:rRNA from 1 species
CGGAAUUACUGGGCGUAAAGCGUGUGUAGGCGGUUAUGUAAGUCAGAUGUGAAAUCCCCGGGCUCAACCUGGGAACUGCAUUUGUGACUGCACAGCUGGAGUGCGGCAGAGGGGGAUGGAAUUCCGCGUGUAGCAGUGAAAUGCGUAGAUAUGCGGAGGAACACCGAUGGCGAAGGCAGUCCGCUGGGCCUGCACUGACGCUCAUGCGCGAAAGCGUGGGGAGCAAACAGG